UACGUAGGGUGCGAGCGUUGUCCGGAAUUAUUGGGCGUAAAGAGCUCGUAGGCGGCUUGUCACGUCGGGUGUGAAAGACCGGGGCUUAACCCCGGUUCUGCAUUCGAUACGGGCUAGCUAGAGUGUGGUAGGGGAGAUCGGAAUUCCUGGUGUAGCGGUGAAAUGCGCAGAUAUCAGGAGGAACACCGGUGGCGGAGGCGGAUCUCUGGGCCAUUACUGACGCUGAGGAGCGAAAGCGUGGGGAGCGAACAGG
rnacentral:rRNA from 1 species